CAGCCGCCGCGGUAAUACGUAGGGUGCGAGCGUUCCUCGGAUUUACUGGGCGUAAAGCGUGCGCAGGCGGCCCGUUAAGACAGGUGUGAAAUCCCUGGGCUCAACCUAGGAAUUGCGCUUGUGACUGGCGGGCUCGAGUACGGUAGAGGGGGGUGGAAUUCCUGGUGUAGCAGUGAAAUGCGUAGAGAUCAGGAGGAACACCGAUGGCGAAGGCAGCCCCCUGGGCCUGUACUGACGCUCAUGCACGAAAGCGUGGGGAGCAAACAGGAUUAGAUACCCGGGUAGUCCACGCCCUAAACGAUGGGUACUAGCCGUUUGGUGCGCGAUAGCGCUGAGUGGCGAAGCUAACGCGUGAAGUACCCCGCCUGGGGAGUACGGCCGCAAGGUUGAAACUUAAAGGAAUUGGCGGG
rnacentral:rRNA from 1 species